CACUCGGUAGAAGAAACCCUAACCUUAGUCAUUUUUUCUUUCUCCCGCUUUUUUCUCUUUUCCUCACUCUAACGGCGACCAACCCUCAGCCAUCGUCUCUCUCUUCCUCCUUCCGACCAGCCCGAGUGACAGAUGGAACAUUGUAUGUGGAUGUACGAUAGGAAUCUUGGGUUGAGCCACGGGCUGAGGAGACUUAUAAUUGGUAUAAACAAGCAUUGGUCAAGCUCGCUAGGAGUCAGCCGACCGAUGAGCAAGGCCCGCCAAUCAUGCUAUCGGAGGAAGAAACUCUCCCAUUUUGGUUGAACGUGGUUGGCGGCGUGUAAGGGUAGAGCAUACGGCCUUUCCUCCGAGUGCAACUAUCAUGGCCUCGAGUGCGGACUACAAGAUUGGAAGGUAUUGGGACAUCCGCAAUUGUGCAAAGUGAGGAGAUGCGGCGAAUGAUUCAACAACUUUCUAGGAACUAAGCGAAUGAACGAGAAAAAAUAAUCCAGGAAGAGAAGAUUAUGACCACACUUAGGAAUGACAUCGAGUCCUUCAAGGCUCAAGUGAACCACUUAAUCAGCCUGCCCCGCUCUUCGCCAAAAAGUCACAUUUAUGAAGAGGAUGAAAGUGAUGGAAACAAUAUAAAUGAUGAAGAAGAUGAGGGGGAAUCCGAAGAUGAGGAGUGAUUUUAAGUUUGGUUGGAUUAUUGUUUAGUUGGAUGUUGACUUUUGAGUAUUACAUUUUGAAGUUUGGUUGCAUUUUGUAUAGUUUUGAUUGGAUGAUUAUGAAGUUUGGUUGGAUAAUUUUGAUGCUUGAUGGGAUAAUUUGGAUGUUUGGAUAGUUUAUAAAGUUUUAUUGUUGUUAAUUUGUA